ensembl:lncRNA novel transcript
AGGAAAAACAGAGAAUGUAGCUUUCAGGAUUCACAGCAGAAAUACUGUAAAUGUGAGUGUGUUCCAUUUGCAUGUGUUUAAGCAAUGUUGAAGGAAGACGUCACAGACAGAUGAAGCUCAGCUAAAUCUCUUUAUGCCACUCAAGUUGUUUUAAACCAGUAACGAACACCUGAGACCUCGUUGCUUGUCUGGCAGUCGGACAAGGAUAAUCUAGGUACUCGAGGUUUGGAAGGCAGAAGUGAAGCAGAAGGCAGAAGUGAAGCAGAAGGCAUCAGAUUGUUCCUCUGGCAAGUGGGCUUUUGCAGAUGUGCCAUUUUACAGUGGCUUCCACUUGUUUUCCUUGACAACUUCCUUGAGUGACUGACCCAGCCCCAAUGUGCCUAUCUCCUGUGAAAAAUAAACCAUCAGAUUGGG